rnacentral:tRNA from 1 species
UUCCUAAUAGCUCAGUUGGUAAAGAAUCCACCUGCAAUGUAGGAGACCAGGUUCGAUUCCUGGUUUGGGAA